rnacentral:misc_RNA from 1 species
AGCAGGAUCAUUACCAAUGAUUGUGGAUAGGAAGAGUUUGCCGGGAUCUCCAACGAUAGUUGGAAAUUUAGGUAGACACUCAUCGAGAGACUUAUUUUAGUUUCUCGGUGCGUCUGUCGUAGCAGAUCAACCGACGAGACGUUAAACUAUAAAGGAAAAUUUGAUAUCCCUUCCCUCCGAUCUGUGCUUGUUGAAUAGUGAGGGAGUUAAAUCCCUCACCGGUGCAAAUGCACACAAACAAGCGGUGAGCGACGUUAGUCAACCUUCUCGUGGUGCUCGCUGUUAGUAACCAUAUACUCGCGCCCUUUGUGCACGGUGUAUGGUCAAGCGAAUAGACUAACAACUGGCAUACUGGCUGAGCAAUACUCGCGCCCUUUGUGCACGGUACUCGCGAAGCGGAUAGACCACCUGGGAUAUUGGCUGAGCAGUACUCGCGCCCUUUGUGCACGGUAUCCGCGAAGCGAAUAAACCAGAAAAUGGAUGUUGGCAUCGGCUUCGAUAUCCUCGAUGAAAUCUGAGGGGCUCUCGUAAUAGGGCCGGCCCACUUGAUUUUCCAUCGGCAGAAAAUCGAUGGGUUUUGUCGAGAGAUUCGUGGGAGUAAAGUCCCACGAAACCCUCGAUGAAAUUUGCGGGGCGCUCUUGGAGGGCCCAGCCCACUUGAUUUUGCCUGGGCAGAAAAUAGUUUCGUUUUGUCGGGAUAUUCGUGGGAGUAAAAUCCCCUGAUUUCUAUCGACAUAAUUAUCCUAUUACUUAAGAGGUGUUCUGGACUGAAAGCCUCUAAGGACAGCAGUGAAUAGUACUGGCAUGCAACCGUGGAUGCCUUGGUUUGUGACAUGAUGAAGAACGGAGCUGAAGCUGAUACAUGUGGUGAAUCGCAGAGUCUCAUGAUCCAUUCCAGCCUUCGAAUGCAAACUGCAGGCCCAGUGGACUUCUGUUCUCUGGCGCCCUGUGCAUCUCAGGGCGGUUGUAACAUUCGGUAUCGUGAUGAGCUACCCUCCUUCAGUCAAGGCUUUCCUUCACCUUUCCCAAUGAGAGGUUCACCGACGAUCAGGUUUCUCAAUCAAUCACGGCGACGAUCACACAUAACAAAGACUAGUUCUUCAAACAGGGAAGGAUGUUACUCGAUCAGCCUGUGUUCCUUUUCGUUCCGAGGUAUACAGAUGAGUAUGGGGAUCGUCGUCAUUGAUUGAUUGCAUUGAGACAUCGAGUUUAUGUCCUGAUGGUGUACAAAGAAACCUACCCAACUUAAGCAUAUCAGUCGGUGGAGGAAGAGAAAGCAACAGCGAUUGGCUUAGUAACGGCGAGUGAAGGGCCAUCUGGCCCAUCCUUGAAACCAUUGGAUCCUUGCGGUCUAGUGGUGUUGAAGGGUACGAGUUCGGUGUGCCUGUAGCAAGCUCGGAGAUCAUUAACACCCUGGAACGAGUGCGCAAUAGAGGGGUAAAGCCCGUUUGACGUGAAAGCAGUCCUCGAGCAGGUUACAUGGCAUGUUGUACUCACGAGUAGAGCUUCUUGGAAUUGCAGCUCGAAUCGGGUGGUGUAUCCCACCUAAGGCUAAAUACUGUCACAAAACCAAUAGAGCACAAGUAGUGUGAACGAAUGGUGCAAAGAACUCUGCAAAGAGAGCUAAAAGUCCCUGAAGCGGUUGUAUGUAUAAGGGAUGAGAAACUCCAUGCACGAUCACUUAGGCUGCUGUUCCGGCAGUGGCUCUGGGUGUGGGAAGAUGUUUAGUCGGCGUAUUCCUAGCGAUCAGAUGCCCUUGUGCUGGCGGGUGCUUUCGUCAGGGCCUUAAGUCUCCGGACUCAGGAUGACCGGCGAGAGCUACCACGUCGUGUGCGAGGCGAUAGCGGUGAAAAGACCCUGGAGCGAGAAUUGGCCUCGAGAAGGCUUCUGAGUUGAAGUUGAUCGACGGUUUUGCGUGUCCAACAUUGCUGGCUCCGUGGUGCCUGCAGUGAUGACCUUCGCUUCGGUGUUGGAAGUCAUUGCGGGCGCCAUGCGUAGUUCUCAAUGCUACGUGCUUAGACGAUGUCCAGAUAUCUGAUGAAUAUGGGUUCUCUUCCACCCGUCUUGAAACACGGACCAAGGAGUCUGCUGCGUGUGCAAGCAUGAAACCGUCUAACAAACGGUUAUAAGGGAUCCCUUCUGAGUUCUCUCGGUUGGUGACCCUCAAUGCGUGGUGAAAGCAAAGAUUAUAUCAAGAGCGACAAUACAAGUUCGGCUGUGAUGGUUCCAGCCACCGGGCCUUCCGGUCGAUGAUGGGACAGGGCUUUGAGUGAGAGCACAGGCGGCAGGACGCGAAAGGUGGUGAACUAUACCUUACUACGGUGAAGCCAUGGGAAACUGUGGUGGAAGCCGGUAGCAGUACUGACGUGCAAAUCGUUUGUCGGAGUGAGGCAUAGGGGCGAAAGACUCAUCGAACCACCUAGUAGCUGGUUUCCUU